UACGGAGAGUGCAAACGUUGUUCGGAUUCACUGGGCGUAAAGGGCACGUAGGCGGCUCGGCAAAUCGGUCGUGGAAUCCCGACGCUUACCGUCGGAACGGCGGCCGAAAAUACCGGGCUCGAGGGCGUGAGGGGUCACUGGAACUCCUGGUGAAGCGGUGAAAUGCGUAGAUAUCAGGAGGAACACCGGUGGCGAAGGCGGCAUCCUGGACCGGUAUUGACGCUGAUGCGCGAAAGCCAGGGGAGCAAACGGG
rnacentral:rRNA from 1 species